AAGGAAUCUACUUUCAUUUUCUUUGAUACACCUAAAAUAGGAAGUUGGUGAGGAGCAGCUAGGAGAUCAGGAGUAAAAGCGGGGAGGAGAUUUUGGAGUUCAAAAGAUUUAAUUAGCAAGUAAAGAGUAAGUAUGGCACAACUCAAGAGAAUCGCCCGGAAACGGGUUUUGGCAAGGAAAAGGAAAAGGCACAUCACUUGAGCUGAAGCUGCUAGGCAACGCUGUUUGGUGGUACCAACCAUAGUUAUUAUAAUAGUCUGUAAUCAGACUUGCUAUUAUGUAAUAAAGUUAGACUUGGUAGUAGUGUUGUGACGAUCGACCCUGGACUUGUGGGGCGAGAGUUGGUUUGUAUAACAUUAAAAUGUAAUGCAAGUGUUGUUUUGAGC